GACGAACGCUGGCGGCGUGCUUAACACAUGCAAGUCGAACGAUGAACCCGGAGCUUGCUCCGGCGGAUUAGUGGCGAACGGGUGAGUAACACGUGAGUAACCUGCCCUUGACUCUGGAAUAACUGCGGGAAACUGUAGCUAAUACCGGAUACGACCCUCGGCGGCAUCGCCAGGGGUGGAAAGAAUUUCGGUCAAGGAUGGACUCGCGGCCUAUCCGCUAGUUGGUGAGGUAACGGCUCACCAAGGCGACGACGGGUAGCCGGCCUGAGAGGGUGACCGGCCACACUGGGACUGAGACACGGCCCAGACUCCUACGGGAGGCAGCAGUGGGGAAUAUUGCACAAUGGGCGCAAGCCUGAUGCAGCAACGCCGCGUGAGGGAUGACGGCCUUCGGGUUGUAAACCUCUUUUAGUAGGGAAGAAGCGAAAGUGACGGUACCUGCAGAAAAAGCACCGGCUAACUACGUGCCAGCCGCCGCCGUAA
rnacentral:rRNA from 1 species